rnacentral:rRNA from 1 species
AUAACGCUGGCGGUAUGCUUAACACAUGCAAGUCGAACGGUAACAGCAAGGAGCUUGCUCUUGGCUGACGAGUGGCGGACGGGUGAGUAACGCGUGGGAAUCUACCCAGUAGUUCGGGACAACCUGGUGAAAACCAGGCUAAUACCGAAUAAUAUCUACGGAUGAAAGCAGGGGAUCUUCGGACCUUGUGCUAUUGGAUGAGCCCGCGUUAGAUUAGCUAGUUGGUGGGGUAAAGGCCUACCAAGGCGACGAUCUAUAGCUGGUCUGAGAGGACGAUCAGCCACACUGGACUGAGACACGGCCCAGACUCUACGGGAGGCAGCAGUGGGGAAUAUUGGACAAUGGGCGCAAGCCUGAUCCAGCAAUACCGCGUGUGUGAAGAAGGCCUGCGGGUUGUAAAGCACUUUCAAUUGUGAAGAAAAGUUUAAGGUUAAUAACCUUAGACCUUGACGUUAACUUUAGAAGAAGCACCGGCUAACUCCGUGCCAGCAGCCGCGGUAAUACGGAGGGUGCGAGCGUUAAUCGGAAUUACUGGGCGUAAAGCGUGCGUAGGCGGUUAUUUAAGUCAGAUGUGAAAGCCCCGGGCUCAACCUGGGAACUGCUUUUGAAACUGGGUAACUAGAGUUUGGUAGGGGUGAGUAGAAUUCCUAGUGUAGCGGUGAAAUGCGUAGAUAUUAGGAGGAAUACCAGUGGCGAAGGCGGCCUCACUGGACCAAAACUGACGCUGAGGUACGAAAGCGUGGGGAGCGAACGGGAUUAGAUACCCCCGUAGUCCACGCCGUAAACGAUGUCAACUAGUCGUUGGUCCUUCGGGACUUAGUGACGCAGCUAACGGUGAAGUUGACCGCCUGGGGAGUACGGCCGCAAGGCUAAAACUCAAAUGAAUUCGAUGC